CAAAGCCUGACCCGGAUGAGAUUUUCCUCAGACUCCAAUUAGUGCACCUUUGCUUCUUCUAAAUGCCUACCAUUUCUUCUAUACUCCGGCGGGAAAUCCACCGGAAACCGCACGUUCUUUGCCGGCGAUCACUAUUUUCUACUGCGCCGCCGGCGACGAAGGACCACAAUGCUACUCAAAAGAUUGAAAAAAUACUUAUAGCUAAUAGAGGCGAAAUAGCUUGUAGAAUCAUUAGAACCGCCAAAAGGCUAGGGAUUCGUACUGUCGCCGUCUACAGCGACGCCGAUAGGUACAGUCUGCACGUAAAAUCGGCCGACGAGGCAGUUCGUAUUGGUCCUCCGCCGGCGCGUCUGAGCUACUUGAACGCUCCAACAAUUGUGGAAGCCGCAGCUCGGACUGGAGCACAGGCUAUCCACCCAGGUUAUGGUUUCUUAUCGGAAAGUGCUGAUUUUGCUCAACUCUGUGAAGAUGGAGGUUUGAUCUUUAUUGGACCUCCUGCAUCUGCAAUCCGUGAUAUGGGCGACAAAAGUGCUUCAAAGAGAAUAAUGGGUGCAGCAGGGGUGCCACUUGUACCUGGAUAUCACGGUGAAGAACAAGAUGUUGACUUAAUGAGGUCAGAAGCAGAGAAAAUUGGCUAUCCUAUUUUAAUCAAGCCGACUCAUGGAGGUGGAGGGAAGGGCAUGAGAAUUGUUCAAAGUCCUAGUGAAUUUGUUGAUUCAUUCUUGGGGGCUCAACGAGAGGCUGCUGCAUCUUUUGGCAUAAACACAAUCUUGCUUGAGAAAUAUAUUACUAAACCAAGGCACAUUGAAGUCCAGAUAUUUGGUGACAAACAUGGUAAUGUUAUCCAUCUCCAUGAGAGAGAUUGCAGUGUUCAAAGAAGGCACCAAAAAAUAAUUGAAGAAGCUCCUGCUCCAAAUAUUGAUAGUGAGUUCCGGACCCACUUGGGUCAAUCUGCUGUAUCUGCAGCUAAGGCAGUUAAUUAUCAUAGUGCUGGUACUGUGGAAUUUAUUGUUGAUACUCUUUCAGGAGAAUUUUAUUUUAUGGAGAUGAAUACCCGCCUUCAGGUUGAACACCCUGUUACUGAGAUGAUUGUUGGUCAAGAUCUUGUGGAGUGGCAAGUACGUGUUGCAAGUGGGGAGUCUCUUCCUUUGAGCCAAUCACAGGUUCCUUUAUCAGGUCAUGCUUUUGAAGCCCGGAUAUAUGCUGAAAAUGUCUCCAAAGGGUUUCUUCCUGCUACUGGGGUUCUUCAUCAUUAUCGUCCUGUUCCAGUUUCAUCAUCAGUUAGAGUUGAGACUGGAGUUGAGGAAGGGGACACUGUAAGCAUGCAUUAUGAUCCCAUGAUUGCCAAGCUUGUAGUAUGGGGAGAGAAUCGCCCUGCAGCAUUGAUAAAAAUGAAAGACUGCUUGUCAAAGUUUCAGGUUGCUGGUUUGCCAACCAACAUAGAUUUCCUGUCUAAACUUGCACACCAUUGUGCUUUUGAAAAUGGUGAAGUGGAAACUCAUUUCAUCGAGCAGUAUAGAGAUGAUUUAUUCAUCAGUGCUGGAAUUGCACAAGAAGCAUGUAAUGCCAUGAGACGUGGUGCAUCUAUUGCUGCUGCUUGCAUUUGCAAAAUGGAGCUCACAGCAUCAAGGGAUAGUGCCCCUGGAGGUCUGUUUUUGUGGUAUGCUGAUCCUCCUUUUAGAGUACAUCGUUUGGCUAGUCGAACUAUGGAACUUGAAGGCGAUGAUGAGUAUAACUAUAAUGGCUCAAAAAGUUUAAAUGUUUCCAUAACCUAUUUGGAUGAUGGGAAAUUCCUAGUUGAGACAGGAGAAAGCACUUCCCCCUGUUUGGAGGUCAAAGUAGAACAGUUAAGCAAUGAAACCUAUAUAGUUGAAGUAGGCUAGCCUAUCCUUUUGACUCCAUUUCCUUGUUUCGUGAUGAAGCAUUUAGCUCUCUAGAUACGGGUUUUUUGGGCUGUGUGGCAACACACAAAAGAUGGUGGUUCAAUUGGACAACCCAUCAGGCUUAGUGGACUGAAGAAGCUCCGGCCUGUUAUCCUUCCACUACAGAGAAGAGGAGGUGUUUGCUGCUCUGUGAAACCAGCCUGACGCAAUACCCUCCGGUCUAAGGGCCAAAGAAGCCUCUGCCUACACAGAGACUCCACGUCCCAACUCACCACUUGGAACGGGCAGAGGCCGGUAAAUAGCACCCCAAAAGCCCACCUUCAAAGGCAAGGCCAAUCAUCCCAUCCCACCAUUUUAAUGCUCCCACUUGGGUUACAGGCUCACGCUACCAAACCCAGCGAAUGUAACUUCUGGCUACGGACUUAUUAAGAAAAUAUAUUCCUCUUCUGGUACCGAUGUGGGAGGGGGUGCGACCCUUUCGUGGGGAAAAAAUGGAGCAGAGAACUCUGAUGUACUCAUGUUGCCUGGUGUUUGACAGAUAUGAUAUUUGCGUUGUAUCAUUGUUCUCCAAAAACUUAGGAAUGUAGAUGAAGCUUUGGUUUUUUUUGAUAUGGAAAUUGCAUCAUUUUUGUUAUAUGCGAAGAAGCAGAGCCAGAGACAUAGCCUGGAAGCUUUGCUUCACUGAAUGGAAUGGCAGAGAUGGGUAUGCUUCUUCCUGCUACUGAGGUUCUUCAUCAUUAUCGUCCUGUUCCAGUUUCAUCAUCAGAUAGCAUUUCUGGGGAUGCAAUUAACCUUAUUGACCGGCUCAAAUCAACAAGUUUGGGCUUCGAACAAAUGACCUUGUGAUUACAAAUUUGUAUCUUUAGCCAUCUUGAUUAGGGUUACCCCAAAUGUUCAUAUUUGGGUUUACACUUUUACAUUUCAUUGAUGUGUACUCAAAAGAUAUGCAAAUAUCAUUGUAAACCAUAGAUUAUGCUUGAGUGGAUAA